UACUACUUUGUGUCUGUUAGUCAACCUGAUCUGUUCCAUGUUCGUGGGGAGGGCAUCAUGGGCAUGUCCACCAUGCCAACUCCCCCCCCCCGCACUCGCCCAUGCUCGUCGCACAGACCAAAGCAGGCACUCCCGCACCCACUCCCUCAUAUCGAGGGGCACCAUCCAGCACCCCUCUCCCACUAAUGAUCCUUCCGCAGGUUCACCUACGGAAA
rnacentral:misc_RNA from 1 species